AAAUAAAGUUAGCCCAAAAUAAUAAGAACCGGAAAUUUGGAACUUGGGGGGAAAAGAAAAAAAAGGCGGGGUCUUUAAACCCUUAUAAUUUCUGCAGACUGCAGCAGGCUUUCUUCGCCCUUUCAUUUCUCUCACCUCAAAAGCUCGCAACUUGGUCUGCACUGUGCAGCCUGAGAGCUGGAACCGGUGAGUUUAUCUUCCAAAGUACUCCAUUUCUGGGUAAUUUCUCCUUCUACCAUAAUUAUUUUUUUAUUGUCACAAUCUAGAAGGGAAAAAAAAUGGAAACUUUGGAAGAUUUUGUGCCCUAACUGGAACUUUAUUUGUGUGUAAUGAAAAGGAUAAUUCUUUUUGGUUACCUAGCAAGUUUGAUGAUUUUUGUCCAUGCCCAAAUGGAGAAUUUUUAUUUUUGUAUAUUUUUUU
rnacentral:lncRNA from 1 species